AUCUGGGCGGCGGAAUUCAGGAUGGCGGGCGCGUCUUCGCGGCGCGUUCGUCGUUUGAUAUUUCCGUCGCCGAUCCAACCCGCAGACGUCGCGACCUGUUCGCGGUCGGUCCCUGCUCGGAGGAGCCGCGUUCGAGUUCGUUGUGGGCGCGUUUCUGCGCGUCACACGGCGAAGGCGCGGGUCUCUGGCUGGCCGACGGACAGUACGCUAAACGGUGUCCGGUGUCGUCGUCUUGUACGCGCGUGCACCGGUGCCGGUCGGCGACGAAUUCUUCGGGCCUCUUUCCGACCCGUCUUGAAACACGGACCAAGGAGUCUAACAUGCGCGCGAGUCGCGGGGUGUCGAGCGUACCACGGUGCGUUCGUUACGUUGCGAAACCCGUACAUGUCGAAGGCGUAAUGAAAGUAAAUGGGGAAGAUGGUGUUCCGAGUACACGUUCCGCGGUCAUUGGUACCGCGGCCGGACACCCGCAUUCCCGGGGCGUCUCAACGGCCCGUCGCGGAUGCGGAUAGUCGUCUUUCGGGGCGGCUGUCGGUCUGCGACGAACCGA
rnacentral:rRNA from 1 species